rnacentral:rRNA from 1 species
CAGUCGCCGCGGGAAUACGAAGGGUGCAAGCGUUACUCGGAAUUACUGGGCGUAAAGCGUGCGUAGGUGGUGGUUUAAGUCCGUUGUGAAAGCCCUGGGCUCAACCUGGGAAUUGCAGUGGAUACUGGGUCACUAGAGUGUGGUAGAGGAUAGUGGAAUUUCCGGUGUAGCAGUGAAAUGCGUAGAGAUCGGAAGGAACAUCUGUGGCGAAGGCGACUAUCUGGGCCAACACUGACACUGAGGCACGAAAGCGUGGGGAGCAAACAGGAUUAGAUACCCGUGUAGUCCCUGUCUCUUAUAC